GUUUUUAAAUUAAAUUUCUAUCAUAUUUUAAUAAAAUUUUAUUAUUUUGAUUAAAUAAAAAAAUAAAUAAUUAUUUAAAUUUUUAAUUAAAUAAAUUUUUAAUUAAUAUUUUAAACUAGGAUUAGAUACCCUAUUAUAAUUAAAUUAAAUUAAACAAGAUUUUGGACAUUAAAUGUAACAACAUUAACUUUAAAAAAUUUGACCGUAUUAAUUUUUAUUAGAGAAAUUUAUUUUAUAAUUGAUACUACACAUUAAUAUAAACUUAAUUUAUAUAUUUAUAUACUGCUGAAUAAAUUUUAUUUAUAAAUAUUUUUUAAAUUUUAAAUUUAAAAAAAUUCAAGUCAAAGUUUAAUUUAUAAUUAAGACAAAAGGAAUUUCCAAAUAUAAUUUUAUAUUUUUAUAAAAAUUGUAAAUUUUUUCCCAAAAAAGAAUUUAAAAGUAAAUUUAAAUAAUUAUUUAUCUUAAAAAAAAUUUUUAAUAGAUACAUAUUGCCCGUCAUUCUUAAAAAGACAAGUCGUAACAAAGUAAAAAUACUGGAAAGUAUUUUUAGAAU
rnacentral:rRNA from 1 species